UGCAGGUUGAUCCUGCCGGACCUGACUGCUAUCUUGAUUGGUACUAAGCCAUGCGAGUCGUUGUACAAUACAAGGCGGACUGCUCAGUAACACGUAGUUAACUUAACCUAUGGAUGGGAAUAACCUCGGGAAACUGAGAAUAAUACCCAAUGGGCCACAGUGCCUGGAAUGGCCUGUGGUUGAAAUGAUUUAUCGCCGUAGGAUAGGACUGCGGCCUAUCAGCUUGUUGGUGAGGUAAUGGCCCACCAAGGCUAUAACAGGUACGGGCUCUGAGAGGAGGGGCCCGGAGAUGGGUACUGAGACACGGACCCAGGCCCUAUGGGGCGCAGCAGGCGAGAAACCUUUGCAAUGUGCGAAAGCACGACAAGGUUAAUCCGAGUGUCUCCUGCUAAAGGAGUCUUUUGUCAGUUGUAGAAUCACUGGUGAAUAAGGGGUGGGCAAGUUCUGGUGUCAGCCGCCGCGGUAAAACCAGCACCUCGAGUGGUCAGGAGGUUUAUUGGGCCUAAAGCAUCCGUAGCCGGUUGCAUAAGUUUUCGGUUAAAUCUAUGCGCUUAACGUAUAGGCCGCCGAAAAUACUGUGCAGCUAGGGAGUGGGAGAGGUACACGGUACUCGAUAGGAAGG
rnacentral:rRNA from 1 species